rnacentral:rRNA from 1 species
GCUUGUCUCAAAGAUUAAGCCAUGCAUGUCUAAGUAUAAGUAUUAUACAGCGAAACUGCGAAUGGCUCAUUAAAACAGUUAUAGUUUACAUGAUAAUCGAAUUUACAUGGAUAACCGUGGUAAUUCUAGAGCUAAUACGUGCGUAAAUCCCGACUCCUGGAAGGGACGUAUUUAUUAGAUUUAAGGCCAACCGAGCUUGCUCGUCUCUUGGUGAAUCAUGAUAACUUCACGAAUCGCAUGGCCUCGCGCCGGCGAUAUUUCAUUCAAAUUUCUGCCCUAUCAAUUGGCGAUGGUAGGAUAGAGGCCUACCAUGGUGUUAACGGGUGACGGGGGAUUAGGGUUCGAUUCCGGAGAGGCAGCCUGAGAAACGGCUACCACAUCCAAGGAAGGCAGCAGG